UGGAAUGGAAACAGAAAACCGGUUUGUUUGCUUAUUACAAUUGCUUCCUGGAAACAUGUAGCCUGGGAAAAAUAAACCUUUCUCUUUGAAUGGUGUCCUUGAAUUGCUCACCUACCGAUAGUUACAGGCACAGAAAUGGAAGACUCAUUGCUCAGCAUGAUCUUCAAAUAGUACAAAGAACCUAUUAUACACAAUAUUUGGUGCUAAGUGCUGUGUGGGCAAAGGACAGAACCAUCCUAAAAUCUUCCCUCAAGGCGUCUAGUAGGAGAGACAAAUGAAUUUCUAUCAGGAACUUGAACAUGAAGUACAAAGUAAUAAAAGUGAUAAGAGUAGAGAUAAAACAUCAGGAGAGUUCAAAGGAAGGAAAAGAUGGAAGGAUGGAACUGUACCUGGUGUUUAUCCUCACAUAUUUGCAUUAAAACCUAGUGGGAUAUACUUAUUAUUUGUUGUGCCAUGAGUUAAA
rnacentral:lncRNA from 1 species